rnacentral:rRNA from 3 species
CCACCUCUUCCCAUUCCGAACAGAGAAGUUAAGCCUUGUCACGCCGAUGGUACUGCGUCACAGUGGGAGAGUAGGUAGCCGCCGUUU